AAUGGUGGACGAUUACAGCUGGAAAGUACUCCUUCCGUUUUUAAAACAGCGACAAGUAUUUAGCAACGGAGAAAAUGGAGUUGAAAUAAAUACCGGGACAACCUGUUUGGCAACAACCAUCGUUUCAUUUCAUUUGGUAGAAAUGAAAUUAAAUCCAAUUUUUGAUAGGAUUUUAUUUGGUUAAAUUUGAAUUUCUUGUUUAAAAAUCAUGUUUGUCUACCACUUGGAUUUGUGAAGUAAGACACAAUUUCAUAGAAAUGAUGGUUUUUGAAGAGAAAUUCGGGUUAGUUACAAUGCAAUUUCAUGAAAUUUGAAAUUGAAUUCCUGUGACCAAUUCCGUGCCAACCAAACAAGUUCGUUUUUGGAUUCAAUUCAGUAACUCAAAAUGAAUUCCAGAAUUGCAUGCCCAAAUGAUGGAUCCAAACCAGCUGUGAGCUGAAUUUGUCCAGAUCACUUUGAGACGACGUCGACGGAAAUUCCACAUGGACUGGUUGCUGCGAUCCAAGCAUCGGUGUCUUCAUAGCUAUGGAGUCUUUAGCUCAGUUAGCCGACCUAAAAUCUAGCUGGAAUAGACCCGUGAAUGAUAGGUUCACACAUAGGCAUUCCUAACCACGACAUCUCGUAGCACUGUCCAUUGUCCUAGACGCUGGCUCGAGCCAACUAGCCCACCAGCCAACACAAACUCGUGUCAUCGUGUAUACUUAUCGUCCACGUCAGUCCUUCCUUCUCCCCUUUGGGCUGGGGAUGGCACAAGUGUUUCGUUGUAACUUGCAAGGAAUUUUAAGGAGUUCCGGACUUGCACUCCUGUUCCUCUCCCGGAGAGCACUUACCGUUCUCGGCUUGUUCUCCCUGCGGGCGUUUGACCCCGGAAGCCCGGAGAUCUGCAGGACGGAUAAGCAACGGGUGGACCGGCCAGCGGAUACGGAUGCACACCGACCGGCCGAGCCUGUGCGGUAGCAUCAGAGUGGCGAAUGACUACCGUUUCUGCAAAAUCUAAUGCCCAAUCAUAAAUUUGUGUCUAGAACAGAAGAACUGAUGUAUGAAUGCUGCCCCAUAAAGGUUUACAAUAGUUUGCACCGGAUACGUCACCGUAUACAUAGCUUUGACAAAUGUCUUCGCACUGUCAACUGGGUGUAAGUUUUUUUAUGUUGAUGCCGCAGAGACACGAGACGAAAUCCACUGGUCAUUUUCAGUUUGUCAAUACACAAA